AUGCCUUCUCGCGUCCUGGCCGACAGCCCACCCCAGGCGGGAGCCCAGCAAUGCCCGGGAAACCUGACUCCGUUGCUCGGGACGCGCUCCCUGGACACUGGCCUGCUUGCCUUUAUUUUCCCCGCCCCUCCUCCUAAUCCUGAGGACACUGAUGGGGACAGUCCGGGUGACGGAGCAUGUGUGAUGUUUCAGGAGCCGGUGACUUUCCGGGACGUGGCCGUGGACUUCACCCAGGAGGAGUGGGGGCAGCUGGGCCCGGCCCAGAGGACCCUGUAUCGAGACGUGAUGCUGGAGACCUUUGGGCAUCUGCUCUCCGUGGGGCCUGAGCUUCCCAAACCAGACGUCAUCUCCCAGCUGGAGCAAGGGGCUGAGCUGUGGGUGGCGGAGAGAGGACUCGCCCAGGGCUGCCGUCCAGGCCAGGACGCUGGACCGGAGGGUCGACCACCAGCCCGGGAGCAGGGCCUUCCUGAGGAGAAGGGGCAGGAAGGCUUCCUGGGGAAGGCGCCGCGUCGCGCCACGUCGGGGGAAGACUGGGAACGGGCGGGCCGGGUCAGGGGGUCCGAGCAGGACCAGGGUCAUUGGCGGCGACUCCAGGAAGCCGCGGUUCAGGACGGAAGUCUCAGACUCGGGGAGAGCCCCGGUCCGCUGCCGGAGGUCUCCGGGCUGGAGCGUGCGUGUGUGCCGGAACCUCGGGGUCCGAGCUCGGCGCGCAGCCCCGGCGCCGCCCGUGAGGACGCGGGCUCCCCGGGAGCACAGCCGCGCGAGCGCCACGAGCGCGGCGAGGCGUCCGCGGCGGCGCGGCCUGUGCUGGAGGCGGAGCUGGCGCGGGGCCCCGCGCCCGACAAGCCCUACAAGUGCGCAGACUGCGGCAAGUCCUUCAACCACAACGCGCACCUCACGGUGCACCGGCGCAUCCACACGGGCGAGCGGCCCUACGCGUGCAAGGAGUGCGGCAAGGCCUUCAGCCAGAACUCGUCGCUGGUGCAGCACGAGCGCAUCCACACGGGCCACAAGCCCUACAAAUGCGCCGAGUGCGGCAAGUCCUUCUGCCACAGCACGCACCUCACGGUGCACCGGCGCAUCCACACGGGCGAGAAGCCCUACGCCUGCCAGGACUGCGGGCGCGCCUUCAACCAGAACUCGUCGCUGGGCCGCCACCGGCGCACGCACACCGGCGAGAAGCCGUUCGCCUGCAGCGUGUGCGGCAAGGCCUUCUCGCGGACCACCUGCCUGUUCCUGCACCUGCGGACGCACACGGCCGAGCGGCCCUACGAGUGCAGCCGCUGCGGGAAGGGCUUCCGGCACAGCUCGUCGCUGGCGCAGCACCAGCGCAAGCACGCGGGCGACGGGCCCUACGACUGCCGCCAGAGGCUGCUUUUCGCGCCCGCGCCCGCCUGGCCCGAGCCCCUGAGCCCGGGCGAGGGCCCGCCGCGCAGCGACAGGCCCUUCCGGUGCGGCCAGUGCGGCAAGGGGUUCACGCAGAGCUCGCACCUCAUCCGCCACCAGAUCACGCACACCCGAGAGCAGCCCCGGGGCCGGGGCCGCCGGCGCCCGCAGGCCCGCAGCCGCGGCCCGCACCUCGCGCGGUGCCCGCUCGGGCCCCCGGAGGAGAGCCCUGGGGGCGGGACGAAGGCGGGGCCGCCCGCCGGCAGGGCGCUGGCGCUGUUUGACCUCCACGAGAUCAUGCAGGAGAAGAACCCGGUGCGCGUUAUUGGGGUGGAAGAGCCCGCCAUGGGCACGUCCGUGCUGUUUGACAUCACGGAGUCCACGUAGGGAAGGAACGCGGCGGAUGACUGUUGAACCGCAG
rnacentral:lncRNA from 1 species